UGAAGCUAUAAUGGAAUGAAUAUUUUAAAGAAGGUGAGUUAGAGUUAAAUUAAUGUAAGAUUGAACUUGCAUUGAAUGUAUAAUUUAGCAUAGAGGCAUAUGUAGAUAGGCCUCUCAUGACAUAAUAGGUGAAUCAGGUAAGGUUUAACCUAACCUAAUAUGAAAUGGCUAUGUUAAGUCAAAAUUUCUAAAAGUUUUGAAAGUAAAGCGAAAGUGAUAGAAU
rnacentral:lncRNA from 1 species